rfam:Ixodes scapularis strain Wikel colony gcontig_1108379790388, whole genome shotgun sequence.
UAGCUCAGUCGGUAUAGCAUGAGACUCUUAAUCUCAGGGUCGUGGGUUCGGGCCCCAC